AUGGCCUGGCCUCUCUUCUGUGUGUCACUGCUCACCUUCUGCUUAGGCUCCCUCUCCCAGCUGGUGCUGACUCAGCCUCCCUCUGUCUAUACAUCCCCGGGGAGCACAGCCAGACUCACCUGCACCCUGUACAGUGGUUACAAUUAUGGUGUUGGUUGGUACCAGCAGAGCCCAGGAAAGGCACCUCGAUACCUCAUGAGCAGUGGAGGUAUAAGCAGGGCUUAUGGGAUUUCUGAGCACUUCUCUGGCUCCAGCUCUGGGGCUGAUCAAUUCCUGUCCAUCAGCAACGUCCAGCCUGAGGAUGAAGCUGAUUAUUACUGA